UGAGGCGCGCCGAGUUUGAUCCUGGCUCAGAUUGAACGCUGGCGGCAGGCCUAACACAUGCAAGUCGAGCGGCAGCGGGAAGAUAGCUUGCUAUCUUUGCCGGCGAGCGGCGGACGGGUGAGUAAUGCCUAGGGAUCUGCCCAGUCGAGGGGGAUAACAGUUGGAAACGACUGCUAAUACCGCAUACGCCCUACGGGGGAAAGGAGGGGACCUUCGGGCCUUCCGCGAUUGGAUGAACCUAGGUGGGAUUAGCUAGUUGGUGAGGUAAUGGCUCACCAAGGCGACGAUCCCUAGCUGUUCUGAGAGGAUGAUCAGCCACACUGGGACUGAGACACGGCCCAGACUCCUACGGGAGGCAGCAGUGGGGAAUAUUGCACAAUGGGGGAAACCCUGAUGCAGCCAUGCCGCGUGUGUGAAGAAGGCCUUCGGGUUGUAAAGCACUUUCAGUAAGGAGGAAAAGUUAACAAUUAAUACUUGUUAGCUGUGACGUUACUUACAGAAGAAGGACCGGCUAACUC
rnacentral:rRNA from 1 species